CCGGGUUGCGGACAGUGUCUGGUGGGUAGUUUGACUGGGGCGGUCUCCUCCCAAAGAGUAACGGAGGAGCACGAAGGUUAGCUAAUCCUGGUCGGACAUCAGGAGGUUAGUGCAAUGGCAUAAGCUAGCUUGACUGCGAGAGUGACGGCUCGAGCAGGUGCGAAAGCAGGUCAUAGUGAUCCGGUGGUUCUGAAUGGAAGGGCCAUCGCUCAACGGAUAAAAGGUACUCCGGGGAUAACAGGCUGAUACCGCCCAAGAGUUCAUAUCGACGGCGGUGUUUGGCACCUCGAUGUCGGCUCAUCACAUCCUGGGGCUGAAGUAGGUCCCAAGGGUAUGGCUGUUCGCCAUUUAAAGUGGUACGCGAGCUGGGUUUAGAACGUCGUGAGACAGUUCGGUCCCUAUCUGCCGUGGGCGCUGGAGAAUUGAGGGGGGCUGCUCCUAGUACGAGAGGACCGGAGUGGACGCAUCACUGGUGUUCGGGUUGUCAUGCCAAUGGCACUGCCCGGUAGCUAAAUGCGGAAGAGAUAAGUGCUGAAAGCAUCUAAGCACGAAACUUGCCCCGAGAUGAGUUCUCCCUGACCCUUUAAGGGUCCUGAAGGAACGUUGAAGACGACGACGUUGAUAGGUCGGGUGUGUAAGCGCAGCGAUGCGUUGAGCUAACCGAUACUAAUGAACCGUGAGGCUUAACCUUACAACGCCGAAG
rnacentral:rRNA from 1 species